UACGAAGGGAGCUAGCGUUGUUCGGAAUCACUGGGCUUAAAGCGCACGUAGGCGGAUUUGUAAGUCAGGGGUGAAAUCCCGGGGCUCAACCUCGGAACUGCCUUUGAUACUGCAAAUCUCGAGUCCGAUAGAGGUGGGUGGAAUUCCUAGUGUAGAGGUGAAAUUCGUAGAUAUUAGGAAGAACACCGGUGGCGAAGGCGGCCCACUGGAUCGGUACUGACGCUGAGGUGCGAAAGCGUGGGGAGCAAACAGG
rnacentral:rRNA from 1 species